GUUGACUUCUUCUUCAGCAGACUUGGCAUUCUUUCUCUGAGAGGGCAGGAGGUCAUCAUGAACUUCUUUGAUGACUGCGUACUGAAGGUGGAUGCGACGGGCAACAUGCUGCCUGCUCUUCUUGGGGUGAGCUUGCACGCCUCCGGGGCUCCCUGCAGCGCUCUCAAGUGAGGUUUGCCACUCUUGGGAGCAACAGACACGUGUCUGUGGCCUCUGCUUACUUGUGUCUAUCCCGAUGCAGGACUCUGAGAUGCUGAAUAUGAUUGCGUUUAAAGGCAAAAACAACUUUACUCGAUGCAGUGAGGAUGGCUGCAUCAUCAUACCAAGAAUUGAAAUUGAGGGCUCAAAGACAUGCCGAGGUACGACUUCCCUCAAGCCCCAAAGACAGUCGCAGCCAUGGGGCGAGGGUGCCCGAAGAGUGAGCGUGUACGAUCCGGUGAUGAUGGCUCGGCGCAGGGCAUCACAAGUUGUGAUGACAGAGAAAAAACGCAAGGAGCAGGAGAAGAAAAAGCAGAGGGAUAGAUUCAGGUUCCUGGCAAAACUUCAGCAGGCGUAUGCUGAACAGCUGAAACAACCAAAACCUCCAGAUCAGGCAAAGCCCUCUGCCAGUGCAAAGCAGACCUCCAGAAUGGUAUGCCAGAGGCACUGAUCUACCACCCUUGAAUCCCCCUGGGGCUCCAGAGG
rnacentral:lncRNA from 1 species